UGGCUCAGAACGAACGCUGGCGGCAGGCCUAAUACAUGCAAGUCGAGCGCGCCCUUCGGGGUGAGCGGCGGACGGGUGAGUAACGCGUGGGAAUAUGCCCUUCUCUAAGGAAUAGCCUCUGGAAACGGAGAGUAAUACCUUAUACGCCCUUUGGGGGAAAGAUUUAUCGGAGAAGGAUUAGCCCGCGUUAGAUUAGGUAGUUGGUGGGGUAAUGGCCUACCAAGCCUACGAUCUAUAGCUGGUUUGAGAGGAUGAUCAGCCACACUGGGACUGAGACACGGCCCAGACUCCUACGGGAGGCAGCAGUAGGGAAUCUUAGACAAUGGGGGCAACCCUGAUCUAGCCAUGCCGCGUGUGUGAUGAAGGCCCUAGGGUCGUAAAGCACUUUCGCCAGAGAUGAUAAUGACAGUAUCUGGUAAAGAAACCCCGGCUAACUCCGUGCCAGCAGCCGCGGUAAUACGGAGGGGGUUAGCGUUGUUCGGAAUUACUGGGCGUAAAGCGCACGUAGGCGGAUUAGUAAGUUAGAGGUGAAAUCCCAGGGCUCAACCCUGGAACUGCCUUUAAUACUGCUAGUCUUGAGUUCGAGAGAGGUAAGUGGAAUUCCGAGUGUAGAGGUGAAAUUCGUAGAUAUUCGGAGGAACACCAGUGGCGAAGGCGGCUUACUGGCUCGAUACUGACGCUGAGGUGCGAAAGUGUGGGGAGCAAACAGGAUUAGAUACCCUGGUAGUCCACACCGUAAACGAUGAAUGCCAGACGUCAGCAAGUAUACUUGUU
rnacentral:rRNA from 1 species